AGUCCAUGAUGGGAACAAAGCCUAAUCAUAUCCUUGUAUCUCUUCCAUGCUUAGAAAAGAGAUUCAUUGUCUUUCUACCUAAAUCUGUUGAUUUGGGCUCUUAGCAU